UCCAGUAGCUCCUCUGGUCAGUUUAUUUGGCUAUUCUGCUCAGCGGGUGGCCGGUAACGCAAAACCAAAAGAUCAUUUUAGCUGUUAGUGAUGCUAAAAAGACGAACCAUCAGUGAGUUUCAGGCAGAUGGAUGCAGCAAGAACCCCCCCAGUAUAACGCACCCAACCUGCCUUGUUCCGGGUGGAUAAACUUUGGUGACAGUGGCAGCAGGUCUGGUGAGCUCCACACAGCGAGAUCCAGGGUCAGCUUGUACUUUCAAGGACGAUCACUUGAAGUGCUGUCGAGCCCCAGCUGCUGCAGGAUCGCCCUGACCUGCAGCAACGCCAGACGAUCGCUGUGGAGCAGGAAGGGUGGGGUGGGGGG